UACAGAGGUGGCAAGCGUUGUUCGGAAUUACUGGGCGUAAAGGGCGCGUAGGCGGCCUCGCAAGUCCCGUGUGAAAUCCCUCGGCUCAACUGAGGAAUGGCACGGGAAACUGCGGGGCUUGAGUUCGGGAGAGGGAAGCGGAAUUCCGGGUGUAGCGGUGAAAUGCGUAGAUAUCUGGAGGAAUACCGGUGGCGAAGGCGGCAUCCUGGACCGACAUUGACGCUGAUGAGCGAAAGCCAGGGGAGCAAACGGG
rnacentral:rRNA from 1 species